rnacentral:rRNA from 1 species
AGCGAACGCUGGCGGCAGGCCUAACACAUGCAAGUCGAACGAAGUCUUCGGACUUAGUGGCGGACGGGUGAGUAACACGUGGGAACGUGCCUUUAGGUUCGGAAUAACUCAGGGAAACUUGUGCUAAUACCGAAUGUGCCCUUCGGGGGAAAGGUUUAUCGCCUUUAGAGCGGCCCGCGUCUGAUUAGCUAGUUGGUGAGGUAAAGGCUCACCAAGGCUACGAUCAGUAGCUGGUUUGAGAGGAUGACCAGCCACAUUGGGACUGAGACACGGCCCAAACUCCUACGGGAGGCAGCAGUGGGGAAUCUUGCGCAAUGGGCGAAAGCCUGACGCAGCCAUGCCGCGUGGAUGAUGAAGGUCUUAGGAUUGUAAAAUCCUUUCACCGGUGAAGAUAAUGACUGUAGCCGGAGAAGAAGCCCCGGCUAACUUCGUGCCAGCAGCCGCGGUAACAC